UUUACCUAAAAAUAUGCUAAACAGAUCGUUGUUAGAACCGACAAACAAAGUUUAAAUUAAUUUAACUCUUACCUAUUUUACUCAAAGAAUAGUGGUCGUAAGAGGUCGAUCCACAGGAAGGCGAUUGGAGUUGCAUAAAAAUUAAAACAUUUACUUGGAUUCGAAACUAAUUUUUAAAUAAUGAAAGAAAAACAUUACGUCGAGGAUGUUGAUAGAUUCUCUAGUCUACUGAAGAAUAUUUUUUAAUUGAAAUUAACUAGAAGACAUGUACUUAGAUUCAAAGAGCAUUUAUAUAUUUAACUAAUCAAAGAAAAGCUUUGGCAUAAAUUAAAAUGGAUGAAACGAAGAGGAUUGAAGCGAACACAAAUUGCAUAGAGGAAGAUUUAAUG
rnacentral:lncRNA from 1 species